UACGUAGGUGGCAAGCGUUGUCCGGAAUUACUGGGCGUAAAGGGCGUGUAGGCGGCUAAUUAAGUCAGACGUGAAACCUCAAGGCUUAACCAUGGGACUGCGUUUGAAACUGAAUAGCUAGAGGAUCGGAGAGGGCAGUGGAAUUCCCAGUGUAGCGGUGAAAUGCGUAGAUAUUGGGAGGAACACCAGUGGCGAAGGCGACUGCCUGGACGACACCUGACGCUGAGGCGCGAAAGCCAGGGGAGCAAACGGG
rnacentral:rRNA from 1 species